rnacentral:rRNA from 1 species
AGAGGGGUGCAAGCGUUAAUCGGAGUUACUGGGCGUAAAGGGCGCGUAGGCGGAUGUGUAAGUCGGGAUGUGAAAUCCCUGGGCUUAACCUGGGAACUGCAUUCGAAACUACAUAUCUAGAGUAUAAGAGAGGAAAGUAGAACUCCCGGUGUAGUGGUAAAAUCCGUAGAUAUCGGGAAGAAUACCAGAGGCGAAGGCGGCUUUCUGGCUUAAUACUGACGCUGAGGCGCGAAAGCGUGGGGAGCAAACAGGAUUAGAGACCCUGGUAGUCCACGCUGUAAACGAUGAGAACUAGAUGUUGCCUUUUCGAAGGUAGUGUCGAAGCUAACGCGUUAAGUUCUCCGCCUGGGGAGUACGGUCGCAAGAUUA